rnacentral:rRNA from 1 species
GACGAACGCUGGCGGCGUGCUUAACACAUGCGAGUCGAACGGAAAGGCCCUGCUUUUGUGGGGAGCUCGAGUGGCGAACGGGUGAGUAACACGUGAGUAACCUGCCCUUGACUUUGGGAUAACUUCAGGAAACUGGGGCUAAUACCGGAUAGGAGCUCCUGCUGCAUGGUGGGGGUUGGAAAGUUUCGGCGGUUGGGGAUGGACUCGCGGCUUAUCAGCUUGUUGGUGGGGUAGUGGCUUACCAAGGCUUUGACGGGUAGCCGGCCUGAGAGGGUGACCGGCCACAUUGGGACUGAGAUACGGCCCAGACUCCUACGGGAGGCAGCAGUGGGGAAUAUUGCACAAUGGGCGGAAGCCUGAUGCAGCAACGCCGCGUGCGGGAUGACGGCCUUCGGGUUGUAAACCGCUUUCGCCUGUGACGAAGCGUGAGUGACGGUAAUGGGUAAAGAAGCACCGGCUAACUACGUG